GGACAGCCUGCAGCGGUGGAGGGUCGUCGCCCUCCGACCCGCCAGAUGGCCACUCUGCUGACCGCCCCACGGUGUCUGAUCUGAUUUGGGACCUUGCAGGGCUCCUCCUGCUGAGGCAGCUUUUCUUCUUGUCUCCUGGUGAUCACUGAGCUCCACCUCCAGGCUGCACGGGAAUCUCCUUCCAACCCCGCGUCUCYGCACACGCGAAGAAACAUUCCCCUGAGCUGUUGGAGCUGACAUCUUGCUGCCGGAGCCUAGAAGCAUCAGGUGUGAAGGACGUGCAGCCCUCUCCUGGCCAGAACCACGC
ensembl:lncRNA